AUGCAAGGUACACACAAAGAGGGAGAAUUCCGGCAGGUGGAAAUAUGGACCUGGAAAAGCUACGUCAGGCUACCUAUUCUGCAUAACUCCAAACAAGCUAAAACUUUACGGAGAAUUUUUAUGGAAUAUAUGAGGAAUAUUGGAGCCAAUAAGUACCAGAGGGGCCCCACCUGGUGGGCACAACACACCUGGGCCCGCCAGGGAGCCCAGGCGCGCCCUGGUGGGUUGUGCUCACCCAGACCUAGAAAAAAUAAGGAGAGGACUUCCGGGACGGAGCGCCGCAGUCUCGAGGUGGAACUUGGGCAGGAGCACUUAUGCCCUCCGGUGGAGCGAUUUUGCCUGGGGAACUUCCCUCCUGGAGGGGGAAAUCAUCGUACUCAUCAUCACCAACAACUCUCCCAUCUUGGGGAGGGCAAUCUCCAUCAACAUCUUCAACAGCACCAUCUCAUCUCAAACCCUAGUUCAUCUCUUGUGUUCAAUCUUGUUACCGGAACUGUAGAUUGGUGCUUGUCGGUGACUAGUAGUGUUGAUUACAUCUUGUAG
rnacentral:rRNA from 1 species